UAUGGUAAGUGCCAGCAGCCGCGGUAAUACGUAGGGAGCAAGCGUUGUCCGGAUUUACUGGGUGUAAAGGGUGCGUAGGCGGCUUUGCAAGUCAGAUGUGAAAUCUAUGGGCUCAACCCAUAGCCUGCAUUUGAAACUGCAGAGCUUGAGUGAAGUAGAGGCAGGCGGAAUUCCCCGUGUAGCGGUGAAAUGCGUAGAGAUGGGGAGGAACACCAGUGGCGAAGGCGGCCUGCUGGGCUUUAACUGACGCUGAGGCACGAAAGCGUGGGUAGCAAACAGG
rnacentral:rRNA from 1 species